rnacentral:lncRNA from 1 species
CUUCUCCUCCUCCUCCUCCUCCUCCUUCUCCUUCUCCUUCUUCUUCUUCUUCUUCUUCUUCUUCUUUCUUUUCAUUUUGCCUAUUUCUUGUCCUCUUCUCCGCUUUCUCUUCUUCUUCUUCUUCUUCUUGUUUCUUUUCAUUUUGGCUAUUUCUUCUCCUCUUCUCCUCUUGUUGGAGCUAAAUUACCUAAUUAUGUCUUUUUG